CUUCCUCCCCCCGAAAGGGAAGCCUGGAGCUUCAUCUCAGGGGCAACACCAGCAGCAGCUCCCACCCGGGGGGGGGGGGGGGGGGGGGAAAUGUUGCUCUCCUAACCCCCACAGCCCCGCUGUAUUGUUUGAACUUACUCCGGCCCUGCGUUUGCAGCGCCCACGCCGGCAAGGAUCCCGAUCCAGCUGCGGCAGGGACGAGCAGCCCGGGCGCUGGCGGGAAAAUAAAAGGAACCCCACCUUGGGCGGCUUGAGUGACACUCGGGAGCGGCCAGUGAGGGCGCCGGGAGCCGGCGGCGAGGCGAGGCGUCAACGUUCCCGACCGGGAAGGGACUCCGCCCCAGCCCCACAUAUAGGGGCGGGGGUAUCACACUCCCUCCCCCCGCUGUCCCGCCCACUCCGGGGCCCAGGGGAAUUAGCACCGCCCAUAACAACAAGGGUAUUGCAGGCUGCACCGGGAAAAGCCUCUAGAGCCCCAGGGUCUUGCAAACGUCCCUUGGCUGCAUCUUGCAUGGAAGUGCUGAGCUGAUUUCCACCCCCCUCCCCAGGUGUGUGCGUGUGUGUGUCUGCAGCUGUGCCAGGCUCCCACCUAUCCCGGCCGCCACGCGCGGAAGUAUCCGCCGAAACCCGAUACAACGGAACCUGCUGGCAAGCCUCUGCGCCGCGAUUGGUGCGACGGGGUUCCUCUGGCCCCGCCCCGGCGCAACUGCCAGUCUCGAUUGGCUGCCAGCUGGUGUCAAUCCGGCACACUCAAUGGAGUCCCGUUUCAGGGUUGGAACUCCGAAAAAACGGAUUAACUCCUCUGAUGAACAAGUGGUGAAAGAGUUGUCUUUGAACUGAAGAGAAACCUGGAAAUUAAAUGAAUCUGCCAGAAGCAGGUGCCCAAACACGUCUGCGAGUCAGACUCCGGUUAGAACACUUUUCCACAAAAGAAUAGCCCAGCUGUAAUUAGUGCUCAAUUCUUGGUAAUAAAAUCCACACCUUCCUACCCUAACACUUUUGAUAGCCUUAAAAUCUCUACCGAUGAGGCCCGCACGUUGGUUGACACAGUGUACGGAGGGAAAUUCAGCAGAAAAUAGCCCUUAAAGUCCGUGUCUUGUCACUGGCCCUUCUCCUCUCUGAUUCGUCUUCAAUCUCCU